CACUGAUUGGUGACUGUACAGACUUCACGUUAUAAACAUGCAGACAGUAGGAGCAGGGGGUGUUGUGUGGGAGAAAGAUCUUAAUACAUCAGAUUAAAGAAUUAGAAACUAACCGGGAUAGGGAAGAUGGUUGAUUUGGGAACUAAGUGCCAGAAGCAAGAGCAUGAAAGUAGGUCACUGCAGCACAGGAAGGGCCUUGUACAGCAGAAAACAACCACAAAGCCACUGGGGAUGGAGCUGCAUGAGGAAUGCAGAGUCAUGCUGUGGUUUCGAAGCUGCCUCUGCAUGAUGAGCAACACGGUUCAGCAGAUCCCAACUCUGGAGCCUGAAAUGUCGCCCAUGGAGGUGCUGAGUGGACGUUUCUGCAGCCAAGCUCCAGGAACGUGCCGAAGUCCUGCUGCAGGAGGAUGGCAUCUACCAUUCCCGGGGAAGCUGACUGCAAUUCCCGAUCACUUGGAACCUGUGGGUACCCACAAAAGGCAGCGACUUCUGAGACCCUCCGCCCACUGAGGAUGCAGCCUGUCAGAAAGGAUGUGAGAGCAGGGCAGCGUGGGAGGGACCCACCAGCUGGGUGCGAGGUGGGGAGUGUGCCACUGCCUUUCAAUGGGCAUUGUAGUGAUGAAUGGAUGCUGAAGGUGGGUAAGGAGGUCUCCUCCUCUGCAACAUUCCUCUUUCCUCAUCAGGAAGGAAGGCAAAGAGACUUGGCUAGUGGUAAAGAUGUUCAACUGGGUUUGGAGCUUUUUUUUUUUUUCUUUUUGUUUUGUUUUUAAUAUGAGGCUGGCUUCUUUUUUUGUCUUUAUCUCCAAAGGAGUAAAAUUGCUUUUCCUGGCUGUAGAAAGAUGCUUCAGGAAUUUAAUGCAAUAGGGUCAUAUUCUGGCUAUCAAUAUUAAUGCUUUAAUCCUGGAUUUGGAAGUGCUUUCUAGAAUGAAACUAGAAAAUUCUGCACUUUUUGAAGAGUAUUAAUAAUACAGGAGGAGCAAAAUGUAUCCCAUUUGAGCUAUAUAUGUGGAAAGCUCCUAUUGAAACAAGUGUGUCUGAGAUGAUUUAAAGAUCCUGAAAGAAAUCCUGUAUAGGUUAUCUGUAGAUUUAUUGUUAAUUGCUAUCAAAUAGGUACCUGAGGAGCUAAAGAGUUUUAUUUUUGCAAUUGCUGUCCUCUCCAAAAUGAAGAUGGAUUGGAUUGAAGGCAGUGGAAGAGUAAAAAUAGAAUUAUUAUGU
rnacentral:lncRNA from 1 species